UACGUAGGGGGCAAGCGUUGUCCGGAAUCAUUGGGCGUAAAGCGCGUGUAGGCGGCUUGGUAAGUCUGCUCUGAAAGCCCGGGGCUCAACCCCGGGAGGCGGGUGGAUACUGUCAAGCUCGAGUCCGGAAGAGGAGUGUGGAAUUCCCGGUGUAGCGGUGAAAUGCGCAGAUAUCGGGAGGAACACCAAUGGCGAAGGCAGCUCGCUGGGACGUUACUGACGCUGAGACGCGAAAGCGUGGGGAGCAAACAGG
rnacentral:rRNA from 1 species